rnacentral:rRNA from 1 species
AGAGUUUGCUCUUGGCUCAGAAUGAACGCUGGCGGCGUGCUUAACACAUGCAAGUCGAACGUGAAAGUGGACUUCGGUCCGCGAGUAAAGUGGCGCACGGGGGAGUAACACGUGAAUAAUCUGCCCGGAAUCUGUGAACAACACACCGAAAGGUGUGCUAAUACCGGAUAAUAUCUUUUGCCCUUCGGUGUAGAAGAUCAAAGGCGGCCUCUUCUUGAAAGCCGUUGUUUGGAGAUGAGUUCGCGUACCAUUAGCUAGUUGGUGGGGUAAAGGCCUACCAAGGCUACGAUGGUUAGCUGGUCUGAGAGGAUGACCAGUCACACUGGAACUGAGACACGGUCCAGACUCCUACGGGAGGCAGCAGUGAGGAAUCUUGCGCAAUGGGGGAAACCCUGACGCAGCAACGCCGCGUGAGUGAUGAAGGCUCUUGGGUCGUAAAGCUCUGUCAAUAGGGAAGAAAUCAAUUAUGGUUAAUAUCCAUAGUUGUUGACGGUACCUAUGAAGGAAGCACCGGCUAACUCCGUGCCAGCAGCCGCGGUAAUACGGGGGGUGCAAGCGUUAAUCGGAAUUAUUGGGCGUAAAGCGCACGCAGGCGGCCACUUAAGUCGGGUGUGAAAUCCCGGGGCUUAACUCCGGAACUGCAUCCGAUACUGGAUGGCUUGAGUAUGGGAGAGGGAAGUGGAAUUCAGGGUGUAGAGGUGAAAUUCGUAGAUAUCAGGAGGAACACCAGUGGCGAAGGCGACUUUCUGGACCAAUACUUGACGCUGAGGCGCGAAGCGUGGGAGCAACAGAUUAGAUACUGUAGUCACGCAGUAACGUGACACUAGGUCGCGGGUAUUGACCCCUGCGGUGCCGGAGCUAACGCAUUAAGUUGUCCGCCUGGGGAGUACGAUCGCAAGAUUAAAACUCAAAGGAAUUGACGGCCCGCACAAGCGGUGGAGCAUGUGGUUUAAUUCGACGCAACGCGAAGAACCUUACCUGGAUUUGACAUCCUGGGAAUCUUUUCGAAAGAUUUGAGUGCCCUUCGGGGAACCCAGUGACAGGUGCUGCAUGGCUGUCGUCAGCUCGUGUCGUGAGAUGUUCGGUUAAGUCCGGCAACGAGCGCAACCCCUAUCUUCAGUUGCCAUCAUUUUUAGUUGGGUACUCUAGAGAUACUGCCCCGGUUAACGGGGAGGAAGGUGGGGAUGACGUCAAGUCCUCAUGGCCCUUAUGUCCAGGGCUACACACGUGCUACAAUGGUAUGUACAGAGGGUUGCGAGCUCGCGAGAGUCAGCUAAUCCCUUAAAGCAUAUCUCAGUUCGGAUAGGAGUCUGCAACUCGACUCCUUGAAGUUGGAAUCGCUAGUAAUCGCGGAUCAGCAUGCCGCGGUGAAUACGUUCCCGGGCCUUGUAUACACCGCCCGUCACACCACGAGAGUUGAUUGUACCAGAAGUCGUUGGGCUAACCUUCCGGGGAAGCAGGCGCCUAAGGUAUGGUUGAUAAUUG